rnacentral:rRNA from 1 species
GACAGAGGUGCCGAGCGUUAGGCGGAAUCACUGGGCUUAAAGCGUGUGUAGGCGGGCGAUCAAGUACCUUGUGAAAUCCCACGGCUCAACCGUGGAACCGCUGGGUAUACUGGUUGUCUUGAGCCGGCUAGGGGCGAGCGGAACAGACGGUGGAGCGGUGAAAUGCGUAGAUAUCGUCUGGAACGCCGAAGGUGAAAACAGCUCGCUGGGGCCGCGCUGACGCUGAGACGCGAAAGCCAGGGGAGCGAACGGG